rnacentral:tRNA from 1 species
GGAGGGGUGGCAGAGUGGACGAUUGCGACGGUCUUGAAAACCGUUAGGCCCGUAAGGGUCUCGGAGGUUCGAAUCCUCUCCCCUCCGCCA